UACGGGGGGGGCAAGCGUUGUUCGGAAUUAUUGGGCGUAAAGAGCUCGUAGGCAGCCUGUCGCGUCGGAUGUGAAAGCCCGGGGCUUAACCCCGGGUCUGCAUUCGAUACGGGCAGGCUAGAGUGUGGUAGGGGAGAUCGGAAUUCCUGGUGUAGCGGUGAAAUGCGCAGAUAUCAGGAGGAACACCGGUGGCGAAGGCGGAUCUCUGGGCCAUUACUGACGCUGAGGAGCGAAAGCGUGGGGAGCGAACAGG
rnacentral:rRNA from 1 species